GAUAAAAAGUUUCAUUUGUAAAUUCCACUAUUUACAGUCAUGUUUAAAUGUAUAAAUUACCGGUGAAUUUUGGUAAGCACUGAAUUGAGAUAAAAAUAGUAUAUACCGAUGGCAUUUUAGUACCAAAACACGGCCACACGAACUGCUGUAAAAUGUUUGUGACAAUGUGAAUUACGCAACAACAACAACAACCGACCUGUCAAAACUGACACGUUAAAACGCUCUCUUCUGUGUCUUACUGUGAAUGCGAACACACGCAUUUUUGAACGACGGACCGAUUCACAUUGACGAAAGGACUUACAGCAUAUCGUGUGACAGUGGAAAAUUAAAUCAAACGAUAAAAGUUAAAGAGAAAUACCCGGAUAAUAUUGAUAAGACAGAAAAAGAACCGAAAGUCAAGAAGAGAUACAUUUUGUGGUUAAGAUUCGCAGCCUUAAGCUGCGCCUGGCCUGGGACUGAAUACAUAACGAGAUCACACCAUUUAUCGAACGCAUCGAGAGUCGAAUAACAACCCGGAUCACAUCACAAACGAAGCAUUUAAAGACGAAUUUGUUGGAUAUUCACGGCCGCUGGACAUUUGCGAGAGCUGACGAAUAUCAAUUGUGAUACAACCAUUCGGACACGUGGUCUACAGGUUAGAAUCGAAUACACAGGCGCCCACCGUUAGUUGAUCGAUCAAGUUAGGUUAUGUUAGGUUUGCUAUGACCAUUGAACAGUAAAUCGGUUUCUAUCAUAUUUGAUAUUACUCAAUCGGUUGCAUUAUUGAAAUUAAAGCUAAUCCGGAUUAUAAUCUUAUUAACUAAGUUGCAUACGAAUAUUAAGACAAGAAAAUAGAAAUACGGUACAACACAAAUUCACCGUGCAUAUCGGUCGCGUUAUAACCGACACUUAUUUGCUAUUAAAGAACAUUUCCAUUGUAAAUUUCAA